GCAAACCUGGCUACUUCUGUACUGGAGCUGCCAAGACUCCCCUUCAGCAUGUGGCCAUGGAGGGGCAUUAUUCGCUGGCCGGAGCUUUCAGACCAGAACCCUGCCCUCCUGGGAGUUUCCAGCCUGUCCUUGGUCAGUCUCUGUGUAGAGAGUGCCCAGAGGGGACGUUUUGCAAUCAGACCGGCCUGGCUGAACCUGUGACUUGUCCCAAAGGGCAUUACUGCCCAGCUCGGAGUAUCCUGCCUCUCCCAUGUCCAGUGGGCACUUACAUGGACAUACUCGGUGCCAUGGGGACAGGAUCCUGCAAACCCUGCAUGGCAGGCAUGUACUGCAGCACAGCGGGUCUGGCCAUGCCUGAGGGACUGUGCCAGCCAGGAUAUUAUUG